AAGUCGUAACAAGGUUUCCGUAGGUGAACCUGCGGAGGGAUCAUUAAAAGCAAAAAAAGUGUGCCUAAUGUUGGAAAAUAUGAAAAUAUUUCUUGACUUAGGCCCUUUUUUUCAUUCCCUAAACACCAAACUUUUUUUACCUUCGUGCACUCGAAAUGAUUCAUCAUUUCAAUCCCUUCCCUAGAGGAAGAGAGAGAACAAGUUUCUUUCUCUUCUUCUCUAGGCUUUUUUCAUCUCAACAAACAAAUUUCACCGAUUGUGAAUCUUUGUCUUUGUAGACUAAGUUCAUUUGUCUGAUGGUAUGAAAACAUUCAAUGCAUUUUGACUCGUUUUCUUCCACCCACAAAUUCCAAUCUUUGUAAAAAGUGAAAACUUUUUCAACCAUACAAAAAAGAGUACAACUCUUAGCAAUGGAUAUCUUGGUUCUC
rnacentral:misc_RNA from 1 species